AUGUGUGACUACCCCCAGAAUUUAAGCAUAUUAAUAAGGGGAGGAAGAGAAACCAACCGGGAUUCCCUGAGUAGCUGCGAGCGAAACGGGAGAAGCCCAGCACGUAGGGACGACGUGGAGACGCGCCUGUCCGGUUCCGUGUAUUGGACCGGUCCGUUAUCUAUCAUGUACAGUGUGCAUCAAGUCUAACUUGAAGGUGGCUCAUUAUCCCAUAGAGGGUGAUAGGCCCGUUGCAUGCGCGCGCCUGUGCUGGUAGACGGUCGGCUCCAGGGAGUCGUGUUGCUUGAUAGUGCAGCACUAAGUGGGAGGUAAACUCCUUCUAAGGCUAAAUAUGACCAUGAGACCGAUAGCGAACAAGUACCGUGAGGGAAAGUUGAAAAGCACUCUGAAUAGAGAGUCAAAUAGUACGUGAAACUGCCUAGGGUACACAAACCCGUUGAACUCAAUGAUCCGGGCGGCGAUAUUCAGCGGCGGUCGCAAGGCCACCGUGCACUUAUCGUUCCGCAGCAAACGGACAUCGCGAUCCAUUACAAUAGCGAGUCGAGCGUUCUGCGCUGCGACCGUCCGGCAUUACUGGCCCCUGGCUCGUGGUGGACGGCUCCCUAGUAGGGGCGGCUUGACGGCCGCACCGAGCGGGGGUCUCCGCGCCUUUCUUCUGAAGGGCGACUGGGUCCGACCGAGCGUGGUGUGCCGCUGGAACCGUGAUGGAUCCGAGCGUGGGGCCGACCAAGGCUGCCCUCGUGGCCAGCCAAGCGUGCCCCCAGAUCGGCGAUGAGCAGCAUGCAUUGAGGCACCUCCGGGACCCGUCUUGAAACACGGACCAAGAAGUCUAUCUUGCACGCGAGCCAAUGGGACCGGUGCCACCUUCGGGUGGUGCCGCUCAAUCGAACACCCAUAGGCGAAGACAACUCGAAGACGCAUGUCACGGGAUUACGGGUUCGGCAUUGGCGCAAGCCUACGUCGGAUCCCUCCAUCCCAGGGUGCCCCGAUACGGGUGGGAGCGGGCCUCCGGGCGUCGUUCUACCCAGCGGGCAUACCCCGAGUGUGCAGGAUGCGACCCGAAAGAUGGUGAACUAUGCCUGAUCAGGUUGAAGUCAGGGGAAACCCUGAUGGAGGACCGAAGCAAUUCUGACGUGCAAAUCGAU
rnacentral:rRNA from 1 species